rnacentral:rRNA from 1 species
UACAGAGGGGGCAAGCGUUGUUCGGAAUUACUGGGCGUAAAGGGCGCGUAGGCGGCCUUCUAAGUCGAACGUGAAAUCCCUGGGCUCAACCCAGGAACUGCGUCCGAUACUGGUGGGCUCGAAUCCGGGAGAGGGAUGUGGAAUUCCAGGUGUAGCGGUGAAAUGCGUAGAUAUCAGGAGGAACACCGAAGGCGAAAGCAGGUGACUGGACCGUUAUUGACGCUGAGUCACGAAAGCCGGGGG